GUGGGGAAUAUUGGACAAUGGGCGAAAGCCUGAUCCAGCCAUGCCGCGUGUGUGAAGAAGGUCUUCGGAUUGUAAAGCACUUUAAGUUGGGAGGAAGGGCAGUAAGUUAAUACCUUGCUGUUUUGACGUUACCGACAGAAUAAGCACCGGCUAACUUCGUGCCAGCAGCCGCGGUAAUACGAAGGGUGCAAGCGUUAAUCGGAAUUACUGGGCGUAAAGCGCGCGUAGGUGGUUUUUUAAGUUGGAGGUGAAAUCCCCGGGCUCAACCUGGGAACUGCCUCCAAAACUGCAUGACUAGAGUACGGUAGAGGGUAGUGGAAUUUCCUGUGUAGCGGUGAAAUGCGUAGAUAUAGGAAGGAACACCAGUGGCGAAGGCGACUACCUGGACUGAUACUGACACUGAGGUGCGAAAGCGUGGGGAGCAAACAGGAUUAGAAACCCGAGUAGUCC
rnacentral:rRNA from 1 species